CAGUAACCCUGAUUGUGUGGGAUAGUUAUAGAUAUUUCUUUAUUGUGCCUAGCUCUGUAUGUUAUCUCUGUUAUGUUACUCAGCUUUGUCCGUUGUAUGGGUAUCUCUGCAGUACCCAGCUCACAAAUUUUUGUGUUGUGUCCAGUUCUGUGUAUUAUAUGGGUAUCUCAGUAUUAUGCUCAUCUCUGUGUAUUGGAAUCUCCUUAUUGUACUGGGUUAUUUGUAUUAUAUGGGUGUCUGUUAUUUGUUUCUGGUUUUGUGUAUUGUAUUACUAUUUCUGCUGCUGCUCUCCAGUGAUGGUGAAUGACCAGGGCCGGCUUUAGUCCGGGC